UCUAAAAUUGAUCCAAAUAUGUUGUAAUCUUUAAAAUUGGGCCUAAAGUAGCUAUCACCCAUCUUCUUUCUAUUCUGGGCUUACCCAGCGGCUCCUUGCCUCUCUGCCCUGGGCUUCACAGCUGCCGGAAAAACCAUCGGCGGCGCGCCAAGCACCACCGUUGGUCUCCAGUUCCUCCUUCUCUUUCUUCCCUCACUGUUGUUCUCUGUUGCGUUUUCUCUGUCUUCUCCCGAAGCCGCUGCUACCGGUGCGUGAGGUUUAGUCUCUGUUCGGGUCUCAACUUCACGAUCCCAGGGAAAUACCGCCGCCAGGAAUAGUAGUGGCUUGGCCACGAUUGAGGGAACCCGACGGAACAGAACGCCUCCUCUCACCUUCGCCGCUUCGUCAACUCAGGUCGUCUUGACCACUGCGUCGUUCGUGGCGGUCUUUCUUGCAGCUGAUCCGCCUACGACCGCUGCGUCUGUGAACCAGCAAAUCGGCUUUGUUAGAAAAGUUACAUUGCUAGACGCUCUUGCUGGUAAGAUUAAAUGUAUUCUCUGAUGCCCAUCUGGAAAGCAUGAUAAAUUAAUCAGCAUCAGUGAGAAAAACCUGUACUUGUGGAGUCCAGUUGUUUCCAAAAAAGCUGCACAAGUAUGAAGUUCAGACUACAUGAUACAAUCAUAAGAUUCAGCUAGCAUGUCCCACAAGAUAUCUGGUGGGACAUGGGAUCCACAUGAUGUGAAUUCUGUUGCUGCAACUUAUGAAUCAUCUCUCCAAUUCUGGGAUGUUAGAGCAAUGGGGUUACUUCAAAACAUGAGUCUGGGAUACGUAUCUGAGAUCUAAGAAAACCAAUAGUUCCCAUCCAAGAGUUUCUAGGACAUACGCAUUGACAUCUGAUUGGCAAUCUGUAUUACUUGUAUUGCCAGGACAUGGAUUGUCAAAUGUAACCCUGAGUAUGACAGAAUGAUCUUGAUAUUACAGAGUACUGGUACAGAUUCAACAGUGAAUCUAUGGCUUGCCUCUUAGGCAAUGAUGAUGUAUCAACUGAGAGGUCAUUUUCUGAUUUUAGACAUUAUUAAACAUUUUUUAUGACUAAUAUUAUUUUUCUGAUUUGCCUAUGUUUACAUUUCUGCAACCAAGCUGAGUCACUUGUUGGGUUGAUCCUUUACUCAAUACUUAUUGUGAUUAUGAAGACAACAUUUGUGGCCUCACCUGGAGUUCUUGUGAACCAUGGAUCUUUACAUCAUCAUCCUAUGUUGGCAGGAUGACUAGAAGACCCAAAUGUUCAUUACAUCAUGUCAUCAUUGGUGGGUUGAUGUGGCAAACAUAUAUAAUGGUUUAUGUGCUUAACAUCCUUGACCAGCAAUCCUUCAUAGCCCUGGAAUUUUUUUUGUUUAGGUUGGUUUAUGUUUCUAACAUAUUCUUUGGUAAGUCACCUUAUGUAAUUCAUGGUUAAAGUUCUUUCUGUAUAUCUUGAAUUUGUCUGAUGUACAAUAUGUGUAACUUUGUGGAGAUAAUAACUUUAGAGUAAUGCUACAUAUCUAAGUUUUUUUAUGAAUCAAGUUCAACUAAGUUAAAUAAUAAGACUUGGAAUAAUGUUAGUCAUACCUUGUUUUUGUUAUGUUAGACCAACUUGGAUGGAUUUAGUUAAGAAAAAGACUUGGAUGUGUAGCAUUAUUUAUAAUGCGUUCAAUUACUUAGGCCUAGUUUGGAUAAAUAACUUAAGGGUCUUGCUAUGGUAUAACAUCUAUACAUGUAGAACUGAUGUCACUGAUUUGUCCUCAUCCCAUAUUGACAGCCGCAUUUACUGUGGUUGAAUUGGAUA